CACUCGCUCUCCGUCUCUCUGCUGCACUGAGUUUUUCAUUGCUGUUGGUGUUAUUUUUGUUAGCUGACUGAGCCUCAAAGGUAAAUUUUUGCACAUUUUUAUUUUCUCUGUCAUGUAAAAAAGUACAUAUGUUCUUGGAAAAAUGAAUAUUAACAUGGAAUCAAACACAUGAUGUUUUUUUGUCUAUCUAAUAUGAUGCAUUCAAGUAUAGUGCUUUGACAUGACAUAAUUAACCAUAAUACAUAAAACUAACUAAUAACAUUAAAUUCAGAGCCCAAACAGAAUAAAAUGAUAAUUUUGUGAAGAGAUGAGCUGCUUUUGUUUAAUCAGCUUUAAGCAUUUAGUAUAUAUGCUUUCCAGUAAAUAUGACAGAGCCUUUGUCAUGUAUAUGAGUAUGUGUGUGUGUGUGUGUGUGUGUGUGUGUGUGUGUGUGUGUGUGUGUAUGUGUGUGUGUGUGUGUGUGCUGAACACGAGCUGUUAUCUGAUACCUGAACAGACUGCUGUGGGGAGCAUGUCCACUGACUGUGUGAGGUCACUCUCAGACAAAGCUGAACACACACUCACCAUGCACGAACAUCUCUGUGAGUACCAUUCGCAGCCUUUUUUCACUGCAUUUCUGCUUGUAUUUCUGCAUGCACAACGUUUUUUAAGUAAAAUAACUACAUAUUGAUAAUAGAAGGGUCAAAAUAUGGGUAAACAGCAUCCAGACCAGCAGUGUGAGCCUGUGUCUGAAAUGUUCUCCAGCAGAUGGGAACACUGAAAUGGACAAUCAGAAGCACAGCUCCAAGGAACAUCAGCAGGACAAAUUGGGACAGAAGAAACCCCGCAGGAAAGACACUCCCGUACUCAACAGCCCUCCACUCAUACCAGGCAAGACUUUGAUUUCUCGUGUUCUCACUGUCAUCCUUUCACUCAGUCACCCUCACGCCCUGUCCAGCCAUCUCUCUCUGUCUCUUUGUCUCAGUUCUUUGUGCUUUUCUUUUGCAGGCGUGAGACUGAUAAAGACAGAGGCUCGAAUGAUUCAUCAGGAGGAUGAGGAGAAGGAGAUGAAGAAGUAGAUGUGUUUCAAACAUUUGGUUUUCAGUGUUGUUAGUGCUAAUUUUGAUUGUCGUCUGAGCCUUCAUUAAAUGUAGGUUUUGCAGCUAUUUUUUUGCAUUAUCAUUUCGUCACUUGAGUAUUACAUUGUAUAAACAACUUGGAAUGAAUACAUGGACAGGUGUUUCAGUGUGUGAUUAACCCAUUUAAUCCCACCAUUCACAACAGUGACCGUAAAGAAGGUUUUCAUUUAUAAAGCUCUAAAAAUUUUACUGACUGAUGUUUUAGUGCAUUUUCUAGUGCAUUAGUGUAUUCCUAUGAGUGUUGUAUAAGCGAUUUUAUGCGUAAUAGUACCCUACAAUGAGAUGAAACUGAGUUUAAAAUAGCUGGGCUGAGAUAUAUAAAAUUUUUGAUGACUGCAGAAAUAUGUGAAUUCAGUUACACAUUGUCCCACCGGUCACAAUUGUGACUGACCAUAAAACAGAAUUUUCACACACUUUUCCAAAAAAAAAAAAAAAAAAAGAAUUAUUGAUUUCAAAGGGUUGCUAAUGACACUUCAAAAAUUUGGGAUUAAACGGGUUAAGUAUGAACAGCAGAUUACAUUAACUGGGUAAAUCUCAAGAAACCUGUCAAGAACAUGUCCAUGUCAUAUUUCACCCCAAAAUCAAAAGAAAAUGUUAAUUACAGUAAUUGAAAUAAAAUAUUUUUUAAAUAUUCAAAUGGUAACAUUUGUAGUGCCUUUAUGUUUACAUUUAUUUUUUUAAUUUUGCAUAGAAUGUGCAUCACAACUGAAAAGAACAAUGACAAAAAAAAAGUAAAAUUAUAUUGAUGUGUUUGUGUAUAUAUAAUAAAAAUAUUACAAAUAAAAAAGAAUUUAUAUUUUGCACAAUUAAGCAUAUUUUCCUCCCCAAUUCUUAUUAGGGUUAAAAGAAAGGAAAAAUACAAAACAUUGUUUUUAAAGUACUCAUUCAUCAUGCAAGUUUUAGUGCCUUUAAUUUAUGUUGAUAUAAAUACUAAAUAAAAUGGCAUGGGAAGUAUAGUAUAUUUUUGUAUGGGAAUGCAAUUAAAAACAUAAAAUACUGUAUCAAGGCAAUGGGCGUCACAAUUGAAAAUAAG
ensembl:lncRNA